rnacentral:lncRNA from 1 species
GCAGAAUAAACAGAUCGGCUUGUAUAUGCAAUAAAAAUGUAUAUAGUAAUUAUUAUUAUUAUUGUGAUUAUUAUUAUUACUAUUGUUUGUUGUUGUUGUUAUUGUUGUGAAAUUCCUUCACCAGCAUUGUAGUGCUUCUCAUUAUUUAGAUGUGCGUUGCCGUGGAAUCAAUUCUCAGAGACACAUAUAAAUUACUGUUUAACGAGACGCCAUAUUCCAUAAAUUAUUCAAAACACCUGGGAUUACAAUAUGAGAUCAAAUGAUAGGAAAGAAAGAGUACUCUGCUGGAGGCAGCGUGAACACCAGCCAUCACACUCUCGUUUUGAUGUUAAAUAAGGCAGUCGCUCGGCGAGCUGCUCAGACAGGAAUAAUUGGCUCGCCUGCUGAUGUGAGCAAGGGGAAUGAGUCGAAGAUGCAAUUUUGCACCUGCGUCAAUGACGACCGCAGAGACAUACGGUGGAGAAGGGGACGCAGAUGA